rnacentral:rRNA from 1 species
CACGCCGUAAACGAUGUCGACCAGCCUUGGGUGCCUAGCGCACUUUGUGGCGAAGUUAACGCGAUAAGUCGACCGCCUGGGGGAGUACGGCCGCAAGGUUAAAACUCAAAUGAAUUGACGGGGGCCCCGCACAAGCGGUGGAGCAUGUGGUUUAAUUCGAUGCAACGCGAAGAACCUUACCUACUCUUGACAUCCUGCGAAUUUUGGUAGAGAUACCUUAGUGCCUUCGGGAACGCAGAGACAGGUGCUGCAUGGCUGUCGUCAGCUCGUGUUGUGAAAUGUUGGGUUAAGUCCCGUAACGAGCGCAACCCUUGUCCUUAUUUGCCAGCGCGUAAUGGCGGGAACUCUAAGGAGACUGCCGGUGACAAACCGGAGGAAGGUGGGGACGACGUCAAGUCAUCAUGGCCCUUACGAGUAGGGCUACACACGUGCUACAAUGGUCGGUACAAAGGGUUGCCAACUCGCGAGAGUGAGCCAAUCCCGAAAAGCCGAUCUCAGUCCGGAUCGGAGUCUGCAACUCGACUCCGUGAAGUCGGAAUCGCUAGUAAUCGUGGAUCAGAAUGCCACGGUGAAUACGUUCCCGGGCCUUGUACACACCGCCCGUCACUCCACGUGAUAGAGUUUCAUCCUGGCUCAGGAUAAGUCGUAACAAG